GACGAACGCUGGCGGCGUGCUUAACACAUGCAAGUCGAACGGAAAGGCCCUGCUUGCAGGGUACUCGAGUGGCGAACGGGUGAGUAACACGUGGGUGAUCUGCCCUGCACUUCGGGAUAAGCCUGCGAAACUGGGUCUAAUACCUGAUAGGAGCCAUUUUUAGUGUGAUGGUUGGAAAGUUUUUUCGGUGUAGGAUGAGCUCGCGGCCUAUCAGCUUGUUGGUGGGGUAAUGGCCUACCAAGGCGGCGACGGGUAGCCGGCCUGAGAGGGUGGACGGCCACAUUGGGACUGAGAUACGGCCCAGACUCCUACGGGAGGCAGAAGUGGGGAAGAUUGAACAAUGGGCGCAAGCCUGAUGAAGCGACGCCGCGUGGGGGAUGACGGCCUUAGGGUUGUAAACUACUUUCGCUAGGGACGAAGCUUUUUGUGACGGUACCUAGAUAAGAAGCACCGGCUAACUACGUG
rnacentral:rRNA from 1 species